rnacentral:rRNA from 1 species
GACCGGCGCACGGGUGAGUAACACGUAUCCAACCUGCCGUCUACUCUUGGCCAGCCUUCUGAAAGGAAGAUUAAUCCAGGAUGGGAUCAUGAGUUCACAUGUCCGCAUGAUUAAAGGUAUUUUCCGGUAGACGAUGGGGAUGCGUUCCAUUAGAUAGUAGGCGGGGUAACGGCCCACCUAGUCAACGAUGGAUAGGGGUUCUGAGAGGAAGGUCCCCCACAUUGGAACUGAGACACGGUCCAAACUCCUACGGGAGGCAGCAGUGAGGAAUAUUGGUCAAUGGGCGAUGGCCUGAACCAGCCAAGUAGCGUGAAGGAUGACUGCCCUAUGGGUUGUAAACUUCUUUUAUAAAGGAAUAAAGUCGGGUAUGCAUACCCGUUUGCAUGUACUUUAUGAAUAAGGAUCGGCUAACUCCGUGCCAGCAGCCGCGGUAAUACGGAGGAUCCGAGCGUUAUCCGGAUUUAUUGGGUUUAAAGGGAGCGUAGAUGGAUGUUUAAGUCAGUUGUGAAAGUUUGCGGCUCAACCGUAAAAUUGCAGUUGAUACUGGAUGUCUUGAGUGCAGUUGAGGCAGGCGGAAUUCGUGGUGUAGCGGUGAAAUGCUUAGAUAUC